CCCUACUAUGCACCAGCUUCAGGGAAGAUUGAGCACUACAAUGGUUUGCUGAAAACCACCCUAAAAGCCAUGGGGGGUGGAACUCUGAAAAACUGGGACAAACAUUUAGCACAAGCUACCUGGUUGGUACCAUCGGCGUCCAACACUGAAAGCAUCUACGAGAGAAUCUACAGUACGUGAGCACGAACCCAAUGUCACCUGGGAGUCCCUGUUCUCAUCUCAUCUGUGAGGAGACAAACUGUUCUGAGCUUUUGAAUCACCUACAUCUGAGAUAGCUGCAAGGAAGUGUGAACUGAACUUGUAAAUAUUCUUGAGUGUAAAUAUUGGUUUACAUUAGAUCAGAUAAUUCUCAGUGAUACUCUGAGCGAAGUAGACAGGGGUGGAUUGUGCUAGUUUGAAGCAGGGUAGAAUGUUUUGGUGAGAAAAAGUAGAUAAUUGGCUGUGAAAGGAAAACAAUGGUUAUGUCUCCUUCCCUCACAGUCUUGCUGAGAGGUAUGGGAACAAGAAAUGAAACAUUAGAUAACACUUUCACCAUUUUGUCUUCUCUUUCUGGCUGGCUUUGGACUCAGCUACAUCUCCCUAACCUCACUGCCACUCACCUUUGCUUCUUAACCUCUUGGCUGAACCUCUUUUCUUCCUUAAGACUGGGGUAAGGCUGAGAGGGGCAGGGGGAAGGUGCAGGGGUGAUUGAGAGCCCCUCCUGGGGACUCAGGUUUCUGGGAGGGGAGUUGUGUUUCUGUAUUACUUUUAAUUUGUAUAUUUCUGUCUAUAACUGUAUAUACUGUAAAUAUCUGCUUGUAUAUUGUGCUAGCUGUAAAUAAAUAGCUUCAUUUAUAUUCCCAGAGUCCGGCUGAGUUAGCUGAGGUGUUUCUUAAAGUGUGGGGGAGCGGGUCACAGCCAAACCACCACAGAAUCCCUUGACAGAGUAUCCAGAAGAGGCCAGGAGACAAAGGCCAGGAGAACCACACCAGAGACAUUCAUUUUCCCCAGAAACCGGGAAGAUUCUCCUUUCCCUGAAGCUGGGAGGAUUCCACUUCAAAGUCCACGGGCAAUGCUCCCCUGAAGUUUGGACACUAGUAAUAGGCUAUGACGUAGCUCCAGAGGGUGGUGAUAAUUAAUAUGAGUUGUAAGUAAGGCUUUAAUGCCUCUUUAAUACCUAUUGUCUAUGCCAUAGAGCAGAAACAGUUUCCAGCCCACUCUUCUGGGCGAAUAGUAUAUAGACCCCAAGCAGCAUUAAGCCAUAGGGAAAACUCUCUCUGUUUAUAGUUGGAAUGUUUGUUAGUUAUUAAUAAGUUACUGUAGAUAUUAAUCCUAGAAUGUUCCCAUGACUGUGUAGAAUCCUUUUAAUAUUAAAUACAGUGGUUGGGGGUGGCAAGAGUUCAGAAUAUUGAGUUUAAUAAAUAUAUAUUUUUAUAGAA